GACGAACGCUGGCGGCGUGCUUAACACAUGCAAGUCGAACGAUGAAGCUGGAGCUUGCUCCGGUGGAUUAGUGGCGAACGGGUGAGUAACACGUGAGUAAUCUGCCCUCGACUCUGGGAUAACUGCGGGAAACUGUAGCUAAUACCGGAUACGACACCUUCGGGCAGCCGAUGGGUGUGGAAAGAAUUUCGGUCAAGGAGGAAGUCGCGGCCUAUCAGCUAGUUGGUGAGGUAAUGGCUCACCAAGGCGACGACGGGUAGCCGGCCUGAGAGGGUGACCGGCCACACUGGGACUGAGACACGGCCCAGACUCCUACGGGAGGCAGCAGUGGGGAAUAUUGCACAAUGGGCGAAAGCCUGAUGCAGCAACGCCGCGUGAGGGAUGAAGGCCUUCGGGUUGUAAACCUCUUUUAGUUGGGAAGAAGCGAAAGUGACGGUACCAACAGAAAAAGCACCGGCUAACUACGUGCCAGCCGCCGCAGUAA
rnacentral:rRNA from 1 species